UGGAUGGAUGGAUGGAUGGAUGGAUGGAUGGAUGGAUGGAUGGAUGGAUGGAUUGAUCUGGAUCCCUCUCUGGGUGCGUGGAAUAAAGCCAGCGACGCUAUGAUGUUGUGAAUGCGAUCAGAGAUUCAAAGAGGCUGUUCAGGAUUUAUUUUUGGUUUACUUCAGAGAAUGAUGAGGAUGUGUGUGUGUGUGGUGUUCUGAAAUACAGAAAAACCAUAUGCAACAUGUCAGUUAUAUAAUACACAUGCGCAUAUGCUGUAUAAAUGGCGUAGGUUUGGUCUCAACAUUGGUAGGGACGAUAAAACUGCAUAACCUGCAUGUACACUUUUUGCUGGGGACGGGUCAUUAAUAAGACCAAACAGAUUGGGUGAGCGGGGCAAAGGGCCACAUAUCUCAUGAAUACGAACCUAAUUAAUGGAUAGGCUAAAUAAAUCAGCAUUGACUGAUAACUUUUACGUGCAAUGGUUCAGGUGAUUCAAACCUUUGUUUUCAAAACCUACUAAAGAAAUAUUUUGAAAACUUCCAGAAUAAAUGUCUAGUUUUUAUUAGCAAACAUACACAUUAUGAAAAUAAUUCAAUUAAUCACGGUAGUGUCAGUUUUAUCCUUACAACAUAUGGGAAGACAAUCUAAAUUCUCUAUUUAACUCAACUCAUUAUAUAAUGCAAAUAAGGUUGCUUAAAAGUUGGUGGGGUCAAUUUUAGCAUCCUGAAAAGUUGGCGUUGUUAUGUCCCUACCUUCCCUAUGCAAACCUAUGCCCUUGAUAUGAACAUAUCUACCAAGAUAAACACGAUCAACAUUGAAUAUAAAUUAAAUACUGUAUACCGCUCACAUAAUGCAUAUAAUUGCUCAUCACGGACAAUAAUCAGCAAACACUUUAAGCAGGAAAUUAGAAUAACAACCUAGAUUGACAAAUGAAUUGGAAACAUAACAUAAAUAACAUAAAAUGUUGUCAAAUUUGGGUUAGGCUAUCAAUUAGCACAGAGCUAGUGGUUAGCUCGUGGCGGCUAGCUAAUGCAAUAGAUUAUUAGCUGAGGAACUGUCAUCAACCAAAAGUGUUUAUAAAUUUCUAAGGCACACUUCAACACUAUACUUCUCCAAUUUACACACAACUUUCGGACGGUAAGUAAACAUGACGGUAGCUUGGGGAAGAGCUUCACUGUUAAGGAGGAGAGCGCUAGCGAGCUUCACAACGACUUAAAGGGCCAGUUCACGUUUCAAAAUGCAUGUAUGGUUAAAACAAUAUAAUAAUUACCUUGAAUCCUUGACCAAAUCACUCUUGAGACUUCCGUGCCUGCUCGUAGGCUUAAGUGUCGUCCUGUUUCAAACUAAAUCCAAACGCACAGUAUGAGAAUUGCUCCCCAUGCCAGUGGCCCGGGCUGAUGUGGGAUGGGACAGUCCCCUACCGUCAGGCUUUGCACGAUGUGAUUAAAAACAUUCCCCUUCGAACCAUAUAUUCAAGCGCUUCCAGGAGUUUGCACAGCCACGAACAGCACAGAAAGUCCCGGAGCCUCGUUUAUGUUGUGCUAAAUCCAUUUUUGGAGAAUCAGUGGGUUCCUUUGAUUUGAUUUUGACUUAGUCACACUAACUAACACACUAACUUCAAUCGCAACUCAUGAUGUUUUGUCUAAACCGGAAAUUCGCAGCAGAAAUUGUUAGGGCUCCUGCUCCUCCUCCUUGUGUAUUUGUGUGUGUGUGUGCCCCUAUAUGUUUUGUGAGGACUUUUACCUCGAUUUCUCACCUGAGCUCCGGGGACAUAGUUGGAAUAUGGGGACUAUGCCAAUGUCCCCAUAAACCUUGGACUAUAUUUGCAUUUUUUUGUGCCUAAAUGACUUUUUUUUUAUUUUACAGUGAUGCAGUUUCAAGAAUAUAUCAUCAUCUUCGUCAUCACAAUGAUAAAUAUGCCAUAGUUGGUCUCUAAAUGACUUUUCUUUUUCAUUUUUUUCCCCAAGUCCUCAUAUAACGCUUGACUUGACUGAUGUGUGUGUGUUUGUGUGUGUGCAUGUGUGUGUGCGUUGGUUUGCCUGCAUUAGCGGGACUUGCUUUUAUCGGUUUACGUACCACCAUUACCAGGACCAAACGGUUUAUCUAUCGGGACACUAAUUCAAGCACUGUAAAUGCAUUCAGAACAAUGGAAAUGACAUCCUCCCGCUUUUUCUCGUCAUGUCCUUAUAAGUACGGAAACCCGACAUAUCUGUGUCUCACACACGAAGUCAUACACGCAGAAAAAAUUUCCCGCCAUUGGGCUUUCACACACAAACGCGGGAAAACGGCACACAAAUUUAGCGGACUUCCGUGACGUAUUGGUCAGCAAUUGGCUGUUCUCAACGUUAGUCAAACGUCAAUCAAAGAAGUUCUCCGCAGUGAUUGGAGGAGUGCCGUUGGCGUCAACCCGGAAGCUCCUGAGGGAAGCGCUGUCAGUGAUUGGCUGGUGAGUGGUUUUGAUCCGACACUUUUUGUGCACAUGUAAUGUCCCUUCAAUGGAGGAGGUAAGUACAGUCUAAGUGUAUUAAUGUGUUCGUGCUAUAGUCGUUUACUCUCCCUACUAACUCUAUUUCACCAAGCUAUCUGGCUGUUUCAACGGAGUUAUGAGAUACUUUUUCCUCAACCCUGCAAUUAGGUAAAAUAGUCCGCAGGUAAAAGGGACGUCGAUGUUCGUCUAUAGGACAUUAAACACUACAGUCUUAGUAUAUUAAUGUGUUUGUGCCAUAGUCGUUUACUCUCCCUACUAACUCUGUUUCACUGAGUUAUCUGGCUGUUUUUAAGUUUAAAUACUUCUUCGUCAACUCUGUAACUAGGCAAAAUAGUCCAUAGGUUAAAGGGACGUCGAUGUUGGUCUAUAGACCCCAAUCACAUGACGUCACAACUCCGCCCCCCUGACUUGAUCCGCCAUAUUGUCCGUCAGCUCGUCGUGUUUACACAUUACCGCUACGUACAUUCCUCUUAUUACGCCGUGUUUUUCUGCUCCUUAACAUUAAUAAUCAAAAUAGUGAAGGCGUGUGUGGCGGUUGGUUGCAGUAACAGGGAAAAUAGAAGGAGAGACUUGAAGUUCUACCGUAUUCCGAGAGACCCGAAGAGGAGAGCGAGAUGAACUGCUGCAAUUCGACGAGAAUACUGGGCACCAAACGAUCACCACAGACUAUGUAGUAGUCAUUUUAUAUCUGCAAAGAUGCCUGAGAAGAGAAGCAGGAGGAGAAAGACUCCAGAACAAGAUGCUGUGGAACAUAUAAUUGAGGAAAAAGAUACAACAUUAAUUGAGGAAAGAUUUAUCAACCACUAUAAAGUAUAAAUGCUUCAAAAGAACACUAAACACUGGGCCGACUAGUGAAUGAUGAUCAUGUUCAUCCAAACUGCAAAGUCAAAAGAAUCAUGGUUCGAGGGAGACCACACCUGUGUCUGUUCGCUAUCAAAGAAAUCUUUCCAGGAGAAGAAAAAUAACUUAUAACUAUGGUGAUUCCUCUUGGCCAUGGCGCUCAAUGGCACCUUGUGAAGAGCAAAGUGACCUGAAGGUCCACGAACGUGAGCCAGCAUCAGAAAAGG